UGGGGAAUAUUGGACAAUGGGCGCAAGCCUGAUCCAGCCAUACCGCGUGGGUGAAGAAGGCCUUCGGGUUGUAAAGCCCUUUUGUUGGGAAAGAAAUCCAGCCGGUUAAUACCUGGUUGGGAUGACGGUACCCAAAGAAUAAGCACCGGCUAACUUCGUGCCAGCAGCCGCGGUAAUACGAAGGGUGCAAGCGUUACUCGGAAUUACUGGGCGUAAAGCGUGCGUAGGUGGUCGUUUAAGUCCGUUGUGAAAGCCCUGGGCUCAACCUGGGAACUGCAGUGGAUACUGGGCGACUAGAGUGUGGUAGAGGGUAGCGGAAUUCCUGGUGUAGCAGUGAAAUGCGUAGAGAUCAGGAGGAACAUCCAUGGCGAAGGCAGCUACCUGGACCAACACUGACACUGAGGCACGAAAGCGUGGGGAGCAAACAGGAUUAGAUACCCUGGUAGUCCACGCCCUAAACGAUGCGAACUGGAUGUUGGGUGCAAUUUGGCACGCAGUAUCGAAGCUAACGCGUUAAGUUCGCCGCCUGGGGAGUACGGUCGCAAGACUGAAACUCAAAGGAAUUGAC
rnacentral:rRNA from 1 species